AAGUCGUAACAAGGUUUCCGUAGGUGAACCUGCGGAAGGAUCAUUAAAAGUUGUACCCCUUCGGGGGCACUUGCCAACCCUUGCAAAUAUACAUCUGCUUGGUCUCGGGCCAAAAUUUACUCUUGAACUUUCUUCUGAAUGAGACAAAUAAAAA
rnacentral:misc_RNA from 1 species